rnacentral:rRNA from 1 species
GAAACUGGAGCUAAUACCGCAUGUGGUCCUUCGGCAAAAGCAGAAGGAUUAAAGCCUUCGGGUGCUUGAGGAGUGGCUUGCGUCCGAUUAGCUUGUUGGUGAGGUAAUGGCCCACCAAGGCAAUGAUCGGUAGCUGGUCUGAGAGGAUGAUCAGCCACACUGGGACUGAGACACGGCCCAGACUCCUACGGGAGGCAGCAGCAAGGAAUAUUGUGCAAUGGGCGAAAGCCUGACACAGCGACGCCGCGUGGGGGAUGAAGGCCUUCGGGUCGUAAACCCCUUUUCUCGGGGAAGAACAAUGACGGUACCUGAGGAAUAAGUCUCGGCUAACUACGUGCCAGCAGCCGCGGUAAUACGUAGGAGGCAAGCGUUAUCCGGAUUUAUUGGGCGUAAAGCGCGUGUAGGUGGCUCUUCAAGUCGGAUGAAAAAUCUCCCGGCUCAACUGGGAGGGAACAUUCGAUACUGCUGGGCUAGAGUGCAGCAGAGGGAGGUGGAAUUCCCGGUGUAGUGGUGAAAUGCGUAGAUAUCGGGAGGAACACCAGUGGCGAAGGCGACCUCCU